GUCGAAACGUGACAAGUUUGCAUGUUUACAUUGUGUUAUAUGUGUGUAGCCGCGGGUAUUUUUGCGAAAAGCCUAGUAAGUGUUAAGACCCUCAAAAGUCCUCGGCGCAGCCCAAGAGGAAUCCUAUUCAGUACAGUGGGAGGAAGAUCUAAAUCAUCAGGCUCCAUAGUGAGGUUAUGCUGGGUUCAUAGAAGACUGGAGCUGAAGAGAGGGUCAGCUGUGUGUGACCUCACCACAGAUAAGUCUUUACUUGGAGACGCCGAACACACGGCGGGUGACUCUUGGACUGUGACGUAAGCCUCGCCCUUCUGUCUCCAAGUCUACGCUUUAUAAUACCGUUCUAAUGAAAAGGGAAUCUCACACCAAAUCCUCCUCAAUAACACUUAUUUGAAAGACUGUGAAAAGAUCAACACUCUUAGGCUACUCUUAAAUAUAUUUUCAUCUCCUUGAUGAUUAUGCACUGAUAACUUUCCCAUUUUUCUAUCAUCGAUUUUGGAGUCUAAGUCCAAUCAUAUUAUGCCUAUUUUGUUUAUUUUGUUACCUAUCUGUGUUCAUUGUAACUCAACGGCUUUUCUGUUCCCCAGUUCGCCAGAACAGUUAUGCACAGCAUCCAAUAGACUAGGCCUUCACGAAUUUGACUUUAUUGUUUGGCAAUUUGAAUAGCAGCUGCUUUAAAAUUACAGACAGAUAUGACAGACAGAAAGAUGAAAGGAUGUAUAGGCGUAUGGCUAGACCAACACAUAGGCAUGAUAUAUAUGAAGCCCUAUUUGUUUAGCCUAAAGUUGGUUAACCCAAUAAACUAUUAUAUAAUAGAAAACAAUUGUCAAGUGGAAUUGAUGAUUGAUAGGCCUAUUGAUUGAUGACAAUGACAAGUCUUUGGUAUUAUAAUGAGUUGUAACUGUUGGUUCUACGUCGAUGGUCUCCACAUACAGCCUCCGGGGCUUGUAAAAGGUAACUUUGGCCCUCUGACCUCGCUCUAGGAAUUCCAUCCUCUCCCCGUUACUAAAUCUUUCUCCUUCACAGGCUCUACCUUUGCUUCACAACGUUAUAAACUGUUUGCCUUUUAUGCAAGGCCUAGUAACCGAGGCAUUUUAUUGUCACCACGUGGGACCAGGGUUCAAGCAACAGCCGUCCGACAAGAGAGGUGAAGGGGCUAGAGGAAGGAUAACUCUUACUGACUUGAUGAAACUUUCAACAGUUUAGGCCUACUUUUCUGUUUAGCCUAAUAUUGUGACGAACGAAAAAUGUAGCCUGUUGCGGUGUGUUUUCAGAAUAAUUGUCUCAUGA
ensembl:lncRNA